UCCAAUGGGUGGGCCCGUGGUGGGGGAGCCGCAAGGCUCACCGGUUUGGUCUAGCACCGGUCUCUCAACCUCGCUACGUGCCCGCCCACCUGU
rfam:Burkholderia sp. AD24 chromosome II sequence.